rnacentral:misc_RNA from 1 species
AAGCUUGAGGGUGCCCUUGCAGUGGUGGCAGCGGAAGCAGGCCUUGUGGUAGAUGCGGUUGUCGGCGGUGAGCUUGUCGACCAAGUACACUGUCUUUGUGCAUGCCAUGCAUUUCUGGGUUGUCCCUUGAAAUGCCAUUAUUGCAAGCUCUUUCACCACCACCACCACCUCCUCUCUCGUCCUCUCCCCCACAAAACCAACAAG